rnacentral:rRNA from 1 species
UACGAAGGGGGCUAGCGUUGCUCGGAAUCACUGGGCGUAAAGCGCACGUAGGCGGGUUCUUAAGUCGGAGGUGAAAUCCUGGAGCUCAACUCCAGAACUGCCUUCGAUACUGGGAAUCUCGAGUCCGGGAGAGGUGAGUGGAACUGCGAGUGUAGAGGUGAAAUUCGUAGAUAUUCGCAAGAACACCAGUGGCGAAGGCGGCUCACUGGCCCGAUACUGACGCUGAGGCACGAAAGCGUGGGGAGCAAACAGGG